rnacentral:miRNA from 1 species
CCGGAUGAUGGACACUGAGG